rnacentral:rRNA from 1 species
CACCCGCUUACCAAACCUUAUCAAACUCCGAAUACCGUGCAAUGGAACGUGGCAGUGAGACAGUGGGGGAUAAGCUUCAUUGUCGAGAGGGAAACACCCCAGACCAGCAGCUAAGGUGCCUAAAUAACGCUCAGUGGAAAGGAUGUGGGAUUACACAGACAGUGAGGAUGUUGGCUUAGAAGCAGCCACCAUUUAAAAAAUGCGUAAUAGCUUACUCAUCGAGUGAUCCUGCGCCGAAAAUGAUUGGCGAUCAAGCGUUAUACCGAAGCUCUGGACUUUGCCGCAAGGCAGAGUGGUAGAAGAGCGUUGCAUGCGCGUCGAAGGGCGAUGGCGACUGACCCUGGAGCACAUGCAAGUGAGUAUGCAGACAUGAGUAACGUUAAGCCGGGUGAAAUCCCCGGCCGCCGUAAACCCGAGGUUUCCAGGGCAACGUGUUUCGUCCCUGGGUUAGCCGGGACCUAAGCCGAGGCCGAGAGGCGUAGGCGAUGGACAUCAGGUUAAUAAUCCUGAGCUCGCAACCCUUAAACUGGGGGGACGCAUGAGAAAAGAUGACUAGGUUAUUGAAUUCCGAGUUGAGUCCACGGACUCAGCGCAUCAUUGGAUCGAGUGCCA